GAUGAACGCUGGCGGCGUGCCUAAUACAUGCAAGUCGAGCGAACAGACGAGGAGCUUGCUCCUCUGACGUUAGCGGCGGACGGGUGAGUAACACGUGGAUAACCUACCUAUAAGACUGGGAUAACUUCGGGAAACCGUAGCUAAUGCCGGAUAAUAUAUUGAACCGCAAUGUUCAAUAGUUAAAUACGGUAUUUGUUUGACUAAUAGAUGACUCCGCGCCCCAUUAGUUAGUUGUUAAGGUAACGGCUUACCAAGGCAAGGAUGCGAAACCGACCUGAGAGGGUGAUCGGACACACUGGAACUGAGACAGGGCCGACACUCCUAGGCGGAGACGCGGUAGGGACUCUUACGCAAUGGGCGAGAGCGUGACAGAGCACAGCGGCGUGAGUGAUGAAGGUGUUCGGAUCGUAAAGCUAUGUUGUCAGGAAAGUACAAAUGUGUAAGUAACUAUGAACGUAUUGACGGUACCUAAACAGAAAGCCCCGGCUAACUACGUG
rnacentral:rRNA from 1 species